rnacentral:rRNA from 1 species
CUGGCGGCGCGCCUAACACAUGCAAGUCGAACGGAGUCAAGAGGAGCUUGCUUUUCUUGACUUAGUGGCGAACGGGUGAGUAACGCGUGAGUAACCUGCCCUGGAGUGGGGGACAACAGUUGGAAACGACUGCUAAUACCGCAUAAGCCCACGGAUCCGCAUGGAUCUGCGGGAAAAGGAUUUAUUCGCUUCAGGAUGGACUCGCGUCCAAUUAGCUAGUUGGUGAGGUAACGGCCCACCAAGGCGACGAUUGGUAGCCGGACUGAGAGGUUGAACGGCCACAUUGGGACUGAGACACGGCCCAGACUCCUACGGGAGGCAGCAGUGGGGGAUAUUGCACAAUGGGGGAAACCCUGAUGCAGCGACGCCGCGUGGAGGAAGAAGGUUUUCGGAUUGUAAACUCCUGUCGUUAGGGACGAUAAUGACGGUACCUAACAAGAAAGCACCGGCUAACUACGUGCCAGCAGCCGCGGUAAAACGUAGGGUGCAAGCGUUGUCCGGAAUUACUGGGUGUAAAGGGAGCGCAGGCGGACCGGCAAGUUGGAAGUGAAAACUAUGGGCUCAACCCAUAAAUUGCUUUCAAAACUGCUGGCCUUGAGUAGUGCAGAGGUAGGUGGAAUUCCCGGUGUAGCGGUGGAAUGCGUAGAUAUCGGGAGGAACACCAGUGGCGAAGGCGACCUACUGGGCACCAACUGACGCUGAGGCUCGAAAGCAUGGGUAGCAAACAGGAUUAGAUACCCUGGUAGUCCAUGCCGUAAACGAUGAUUACUAGGUGUUGGAGGAUUGACCCCUUCAGUGCCGCAGUUAACACAAUAAGUAAUCCACCUGGGGAGUACGACCGCAAGGUUAAAACUCAAAGGAAUUGACGGAAGGGCG